GCCUCAAUGGCUCAGUUGGCUAGAGCGCAGGUCUCAUACAUUUGAGUGUGACUGGAAUGCAGUUUCCAGGCAAUCCUGAGGUCGCAAGUUCGAGCCUUGCUUGAGGCA
rfam:Pisolithus microcarpus 441 unplaced genomic scaffold scaffold_18, whole genome shotgun sequence.